AUACAUAGGGGGAGAGCGUUAUCCGGAUUUAUUGGGCGUAAAGGGUGCGUAGGCGGUAAAUUAAGUCUAAGGUUAAAGUGCAGGGCUCAACCCUGUGAUGCCUUAGAAACUGGUUUACUUGAGUUUGGUAUAGGUAAGUGGAACUCCAUGUGUAGCGGUAAAAUGCGUAAAUAUAUGGAAGAACACCAGUGGCGAAGGCGGCUUACUGGGCCACAACUGACGCUGAGGCACGAAAGCGUGGGGAGCAAACAGGAUUAGAUACCCUGGUAGUCCACGCUGUAAACGAUGAAUACUAAGUGUUGGAAAAAUCCAGUGCUGAAGUUAACGCAUUAAGUAUUCCGCCUGAGUAGUACGUACGCAAGUAUGAAACUCAAAUGAAUUGGCGGGG
rnacentral:rRNA from 1 species